rnacentral:rRNA from 1 species
GUCUAUGGCCAUGCCACCCUGAACACGCCCGAUCUUGUCUAAGCAGGGUCGUGCCUGGUUAGUACUUAGAUGGGAGACCACCUAGGAAGACCAGGUGCUAUAGCUG